GCUCACCAUAAAUUGCUGCAUUACAAGAGCUUAUUUUCACACCAAGAAUUAACUUGCAAAAUUUCAAGUGUAAUCUCUCUAUAUAUUUAGAUUUUGUAAAUCCCCAGACUUGACAAGCAUAAUCUAAGAUAGAUGUAGUGUGUUUAUUUUCAUUCACUGUCGAGUUGGUUUUCUUAAUUAAUGUAAACUCUUUUCUGUCAGCAGAAGAUAUAAUCAUGUUAAGAGAAGAAACCGUGUUGAUUGUUAUCUGAAGAGUGAAUGCAUUUAUUAUGUUAUGUUCUCUACUUGUAAACAUUUACGUUUUUUCUUGCGUCAUGAUUUCAAGGUCAGUCUAGCCUUUUCUCGUGGGAAACAUUUCGUAAAAUUGUAGAUAUAUGAAAACACCUGUUGUAUCUUAAAGGCAAACAAUAUGGAGGUUAUUCGUUGCCAAAACUCCAGCCUUUGAAACUUGGCAAUGCAUCCCAGCAAACACUUGACGUUGUUUCAACGUUGGAUCUAAGUUGGAUUUAUGUCACGACGUCAAAAUCCUAAAUACAACGUUGAAACAAAUUUGUGACGUCGUAUCAACGUGUUGGAAUUACGUCGAUACGACGUCGGAUUUCAGUGUAAUCCAACAUAGUAGUCUUGAUUGUGUCACUUCCCUUUGUUCUGAUUUAUAAACCCGAUAGGUGGCUCUAAUUUCAGGUCAAUAUAAUCAUUCGAAUUUUGUUAUUCAUUUUUUUUUCACAUCCAUUGUAUUUUUUUUUAAAUUGUUGUUAAACUAGACCAUAAAAAGGAACAAUAUUAGCAUUUCAAUUAAAUGAAUUGAAAAAAAAAAUAAUGGAAACUUGAUGAAUUUCAAAACGAGGCUACAACAACAAUUUGUUUUCAAAUUCAAACAAAGACAAAGGAAGGACAUUAUGCACAUCAUAGAAGACAAUUCGCAUAGUGAAAAACUGACACUUAAUAUUUGUGUGAUGACAAUGAGCUGAUAAGAUUGUAUACAUGAAAAACAGUCGACAGAAAACACCAUUUGGACAUAAAAGAAUGAUAAGUGCAUCAAAUUAAGUUUCAAGGAAAAAAAACAAGUUGAACCUCAAAACAAGUUUGACACAGUGUCUUCGUAGAUGAAAAAUAAUCAGGAUCCAGUGGCGGACGUUUAGUAUACCAGAAAUAUUCACAUGGAGGAGUAUAUCUCCAAAUUUAAUUCUUUUAAGUUAGUUUUGAAAGAAUAAAGAUAAAAAAUACUUCCUUUCUUUAAAUGUGAAUAUUUAUUUAUUGUUUUGUGUGUUACACUUAAUUUUGACAGAAAGGAAUAUUUUCCCUCACUUAUCCGAUUUGUUACCGAUGAAAUCAGCUGCAAAAGAAAGCUUUACUUUCCAUGAUUUCCAUUUUCUAUGAGUUAUUUAAAAGAAAACCUUUUUAAGCAUGUUGUUACGGAAGAGCAUAAGUGC